rnacentral:rRNA from 1 species
AUUGAACGCUGGCGGCAUGCCUUACACAUGCAAGUCGAACGGCAGCGCGGACUUCGGUCUGGCGGCGAGUGGCGAACGGGUGAGUAAUACAUCGGAACGUACCCUGUUGUGGGGGAUAACUAGUCGAAAGAUUAGCUAAUACCGCAUACGACCUGAGGGUGAAAGUGGGGGACCGCAAGGCCUCACGCAGCAGGAGCGGCCGAUGUCUGAUUAGCUAGUUGGUGGGGUAAAGGCCCACCAAGGCGACGAUCAGUAGCUAGUCUGAGAGGGCGAUCAGCCACACUGGGACUGAGACACGGCCCAGACUCCUACGGGAGGCAGCAGUGGGGAAUUUUGGACAAUGGGGGCAACCCUGAUCCAGCAAUGCCGCGUGUGUGAAGAAGGCCUUCGGGUUGUAAAGCACUUUUGUCCGGAAAGAAAUCGCGCUGGUUAAUACCUGGCGUGGAUGACGGUACCGGAAGAAUAAGCACCGGCUAACUACGUG